CGUUCACUCUCUUUCUUGCGUUUGUAUACGUGAACCGUAUAAAUCCAGCUAAGUACACGAUCGUUACGAUUCAGGGUCGAGUUAUGUAAAUUUUAACGAGUAUUUUGAUUUCUCGGCCGUUCCAUUUCGCUUUUUAUGCCAUUUCUUGUUUCGUUUUCGCGAACUUUGUCCAUAUCAACGGGAGGAAAAUGCAACAGUUCGAAAUUUUCUAUUCGAUUUGUGAAUUUACAUAAGAUACAUGAGUAUUUAUCAGAUAAACUUGUUAAAACAUGGCACGAAGCAGUAACUUUAGUGCCAGUACGCUCCGUGGCUGUAGACAUUGGGCAAAACUUGACUUUGGCAUGUGCAGAAGAGGAUGCACUACCACAGUCAGGAGAGUCUGUAGGAGUGAUGUGGAUAAGGGAGGGACGCGAAGAUGGACAAAUUGAGCGUCUAAAAGUUGAGCCUAAUGGAGCUUUGGAACUUCUUAAUGUCAGUGCACAUGAUGCUGGAAACUAUUCGUGCACUUUAGAUGAUGAUCAUGAUGCUGUCAAAACUAGAGUCAAUGUACAAGUUAGAACUCCUCCUCCAGCUUUACACAAUGUAUGGGUAAAACCGUCUACGAUAUUGGCAAAUAUUCUUUGGGAAGUAGCUGACACAGGUGGUUAUCCUAUCAUAGAUUUCACUGCCGAAUAUCGUCUUAAACCGAGUGUAGGUGAAGAACCUGAAGACUGGAAGCCUAUUGUUCCAACGCACAUUCCACCAAAUUCAAGGCAAAUUGAUGUAUAUCACUUGGUGCCAAACACGACUUAUUCUUUUCGAGUGUGGGCAACAAAUCAGCUGGGAAGAGGAGAAAUUGUUGAAGUUGAAGGUCACACUCAUCACAGUAUUGAAGAACUAGAACUUGCAAGACAUCUCUUAGCAGGUGUAGAAAACUUUGAUACUCGUGUCUGGGUGGCAGCAGUAGGCAUAGUUAUGGGUACACUUAUGAUUCUUGGUAUAGGUACUUGUUACCUCCUCUAUCGUGAGUGCAAAGUACCCUCGCAGCUGGAGGAGCAGGAGGUGAUUGAACUUGUACCCAAUAUCAUUCUGAAUCCAGGAUUUUUUGACGAAAGAACAGAACAUAUUCCGCAAGAUGAAAAUUUCAACAACCAAACUACCACACGUUUGAACAAUAACAGCGUUGUGCAACCUAUGCGACUUUAGCGAUUUAAUACUUAGAUUUCUGUGGCUAAUUUUUUAUUAACAAGUGGCUUGAGCACAAUUUAUGUGUCACCUUAAACUCAGAAAAUUGAGAAAUGCAUCAUACAUUCUGAGUAUUCUAAGGAAGUCAACUUUUCACUUACAAUACAAUGUAAAGUGUUCAAAGCAUAUGUAAGACUCUGCUAGGUUUUGUGAAACGGAGUAGAAAACAUUUUUGAAGAUGUUUACAAGGAAGUUCCAACAUUAAAAUCCGAUGUUAUUGCUCAUUAAUCGAGCUUAAAGUCAAGAACUCCUGUAAGCCAAACAAAUAUUCUUAGUAAGACUGUAAUUCUAAGAACAAAAAACGAAAUUACUGAAAAAUUAAAGUUCGUAUGGCGUUAAUAUAAGUGGCAUAUAUUGGUCUUACAUUCUGCAUGAACAUGACAUGUUUUUACAAUUAUUUUUAAUCGUUAUUACCGGACACAAGCGAAAUUUUAAGGGACAAUAUCAUGCAGAAAGUAAGAUUAUUACAAACUACACAUAAUCGGAAUAAACAAAUUUUGUCAGACGUGAGGUAUGAUAAAGGCUUGCUUACUGCCGUUUUAAGGUGUGCAGAAGUCGUUGGUAAGAAAGUUCCUUUUUUUGUGUCUUUUAAAGAUCUAUUUUUUUUUUUUAUUUAUUAUUAUAAGGAUUCAUUGUUUUUGUUUUUAAAGAAUAUGUUGAGAAUUUUUUCUUCCAAAGAAUUUAAGAUUACUAAACAAUGCACCAUAUACUCUUUCUGGAAAAAAUCCUGCGAAUCAGAGAGUGUACAGUGUAAAAAUUAUGGUACUCUAAUUGAAAAGUAAUUCUACUAUGUUAGCAUUAUUUAUAGUAAUAUUAUAUUCUUCAUACUUUUAACUUUGCAUGCAAUCAUUCAAGAUAAUAUGUAAUGCUUCAACAUGCUUUUGCACUACCUUAAUAACAAAUGCAAUAUUUACCGCUACAGAGUUGUAAAAAAACUAUAAAAUCAAAUUUUAUCAAAAAACAAGAUUUUAAAAAGCGCAAAAUAGCACAAUUUUUCGGAUGAUAAGUUUCAGUAUCAGAACUUUUUAGAAAAGUAAAGAAAUUCAUCGAUAAUCUUCGUGAUAUUCAGCGAAUAAGAAUUAUUCCUGGGCAUUGCGCGUUUCAGUUCAAUUCAUUCCAUUCAGGUUAGCAGUAAUUAUAGGAUAAAGUAGAAUAAGUUAAAAUAUUUUGGAUAUCACCUUUGAUAGAAUCAAGUUUGAUAAUCGAUUGUUGAAACAGAUCUUUUUCCAGAUAUUCAUUUUCUAUGAUACAAAUAUUGUCGUCUUAUUCAAAUUGCAUAACAAAUUCAACUUAGUCAAUCAAGGAAGGUUGAUGAUUUUGAUAAACGUUCUUCCUGUACAAAUACAUAGUUAUUUUCCACAAUUUACAAGUAGUAUCAUAUCAGAAUUCGUCAUUAUGCAAAACACCUUAUUAUAAACAUACGUAGUAGCGAGUGCUUAGCAUUGAGGCUUUUCUUAAUUCUUUACCUAAAGUUCUCAGGAAAAAUUGAGAGAUAUGUUUUGUGAUCGUUGUUGUUCUUUUCGUUUAAAUUAAGUUCGAUUAAGGCUCCCCACGUGGCGAAUAUAGAACUGGUUGUGGAAAUUGAUUCUCGUAAUUAGUCUUUCAUCUGUUAUUAGUAAAGUUCAUAUUGUGAGAAACAUAAUACCUUAAUGACUCUACUUAAAACAAUUGUAUAAGUUAAUAUCUUGCUUUUGUCAAUAUAAGAAACUGACAAAAAGCAAUUUGGUGCACGCAGGUUGUAUAAAUAUUGGUUGUGCGUUGUUACAUUGAAGCUUUAUGAUCUGUUCCUCCCUUUAGCAUAAUAUUACAGGGAUGAACAGACUCAGUUCGGCUUCGUACUAUGCACUCUGUGUUGUGAAUGGUAUAUAUACGCGCUAAUGAAAAAAAAAUAAUACGAUAAUAACAAUAAUGAUAACGAUAUAAAUAUAUAUAUAUAUUUAUAUAGCCGAGGCAUCGUAAUAUUUUAGCUAUAAGCAAAGACAAUUUUUUAUAUAAAUAAUAAUAAUGCUGAAAUGCAGUGAUGAAUAUUUAUCUACAUAUUCAUAUAGAUAAUUUUGUGCUAUGAUAUCGAGCUUCAAGAGUGAUCUAGUAGAUUUGCCCAUUAAGAGUAUUUCUUGUAGAAUAUCAUGUUCCUUCUUUCUUGCAGAAGAGUCGUGUUAUAUAUUCUUUCAUCGAGACACUGUAUAAAAUAACCAUCAUUUUGACAAAUUUUAACCAAUACAAUAUUUUUAAAUAUGAAUAAUACGUAUACAUAAAAUAAUGGUAUUCAUUUUCUACGCAGAAGAAAGGGUGUUUAAUUUAAAAAAUACAGCAAUAAUAUAUUCACCAAUUCGGAACACGACCCUUCACGUUUCAUGCACAUUCAGAUUAAAAUAUGAUCACUUGUUUCUGCUAACUAACAUAACAAUAGAUGUACUGUAACUUAAAUGUUUAACUGUCUCUAUCAAAGCUAUCUGGUGAAGGCAUAGGUUUUACAUUUAGUGGCAUUAAUAUCGUGAAACCUGAUAAAAAAAAGUAUAAAUGGUACUUGGAAUAUAAAAUGAAAAAUUAUUCUUAUAACUACUGGCUGCUAUAAGAACUAACAUUAAAGCUUAGUCAUCUGGGUUCAGAAUUCUGCCAUUGCAUAUUAUAGAAGAUCAGCAUAUCUACCUAUGCAAUAUAGGAUGUUCAUGAAAUCACUUUCAUUAUAUUAGGAAUACAAUCAGUAAAGUAAUAUCAUUAAAACCAAGAGUAAAACUAUAAGAUAAUAAUUAUAAUUCUUUCUUUGAGGAUAUAUAGUCACUUUUUUAUCACGAGUAUUAUGUUUUUUUAAUUAGAUACUUUAAAUUAAUUAUAACAUUGAUAGUAAAAUCAAAAAUAUGUUGCUAAAUUUAAUUCUAUAUAGACAUUUUUUACCUUUAUAUACCAAAAAAUUAAUCAGAUCCUAUGACAGCAUUAAAUAGAUAUAUUUUUAUGAGGUAGAUUACAAUAGUACAAACCUUAAUAAUUAUGGCAAAUAUUUUAUGUUUUUGUUUCAGAUUAUAUAAAUUUGGCAAAAAUUAAUAAUCUGUUAAAUUUCUAGGUAGUUUUGUUUUUAUGAUCAUGCAUUUUCAGAUAACAGAUGCUAUUAAGCACAAUGUGUGCAUAGGAUUUAUCAUUAUACCUCUGUAGUCAGAUGUAUUUCAUUGAUAUAUUUACUUCACAUAGCACAUGUGAAACAUAUAUUAAGUAAAGCACAAUACCAUAGAAUAGUGUAAUGGUUGCUGAUGGCACCAUGAAUCGUCCCUAACAUACAUAUUGCUUGCUGAUGACAUACCAGAAUAAACGGAAAUUUAAUGUGGUUUUUACAAAAAGCUUCAAGUUAGUUGUGCUUUUUAUAAAAAAGCCUUCUUUCAAUUUCUCAUCUGAGACUUUAUGUACAACAUCUGUAUUUACAAACGAAAGCAAUUGUAAAUACUUAAUAUUUCUUUACUUUUUGUAAAAACUACACAUCUGUCAUGUCAUUACCUAUUAGAUUAAUAAUGUUAGUUUAACAACCUUACAUUAAGUAAUGGUAACGGAGAUUUAUAAUGGUAAUUCCAGAAAUAAUGUUAUAGAAAAUAAGUAUUAAAUUUUAUAUUAGUUUGUGUUAAAUUAUACUGUGUUGUGUUAUAUAGGAGCCAAAGUAUUUUUGGUGAUUUCUUUACGUAAAUUAUUUGUUUUAUAAAAAUGAAAAAACGAAAACAUACAUAGGAAGCAACAUUUGUAUAUACUGUAAGCAUUAUUGUUUCAUUUCUGUAUUUUGUAUAAAUUGUUAUAUGUGCACGCUUGUUUAAUUUACUUUAUUUAUGUCAUAUAUAUUUAUAUAUAUAUAUAUAUAUAUUUAUCAUAUUAUUAUUAUUAUUUAAAAUCUGAUAAUACUCCAUGUCCAUAUAGUGUUGAGCGCUAUCUUAAACUCAAUGUUACCUUAAUUUUAAACUAGUGUAUGGACUCAUUCCAUUGCUCUUACACAUGGUUGUAAUAUUUAGAAAAAUGUUUUCCUAAUACUAACAUGUUCAUAGUUUAUUUUAUAAACUAUGAACAGUGCACAUUCCAUCACGUACAAAUCCUGUAUUAAGAAAGAACUAUAAAAAUGUAAUGUGCUUGAUUUAAAAGUUUAAGUAUUUUUGUGGAAAAAAAAUAAAGAAAGUCAAGGUUGUGCUUGAAUAUCUGAUACUAUCAUUAGUUAGAAUUUAGCUUUCAUACUACAGUUAAAAAAAAAAAACAAAUAUUAGUUACAUAUCAGACA
rnacentral:misc_RNA from 1 species